CUCACAGUUGCUUUUUGAUUUCCUGCCAGACUUUUGAAUACAGCUGCAGGAUCAAACUUCACAAACUGCAGCAACACUCCCAUCAACAACUCUUCAGAUCUCUGCAGCUAACCUGACAGUUACAAAGACUUGAUCCAACAUGCACCCCACUUUAAUUCCAUUAACCUUUCAACACAAUCUCCUCAUAAUUUUAUCAGGAAAGCAAGAGUGUUGGAAAACUCUUAUUAUGAAAGUUAAUUCUUGACUAUUAAAACAAUGGUUUGACAAAAUAAGAGUUUGGGGCCACUUAGUGGACCCCUCAGUACACAGCACAGCACAGCAGUCAUACAAGGUGGUACAGGAAGAGGAUGGUGUGUGCCCGGGUUACCAGGAAACAGAGGUGUGACUUAAGAAGAACAACAUAUGCAGCCAUGAAAACACACCACAGAUGAUCGUUCCUAAAGUCAGCCAUGAAAGACGACAAGAUGAUCACACUCUUCUUCAUAACCUUUAAUAUUGUACUGGUCUCAGGUUCCUCUCUCAAUGACAAAGUCCAGCAGCUUCCAGCUCACAUUUACAAGAAACCAACAGAAACAGCCAAAAUCUAAUGUUCACACAGUAUUGACAGCUAUGAUCAAAUCCUCUGGUACAAGCAGAUAAAUAACAGAGAGCUUCAGCUCCUAGGAUACAUGUAUGCAAAAAUGAAAAACCUCGAGCAUGGAUCUGGUGUGCAAAUGGACGGGAACGCGAAUAAAGAUCAGAAUGUCACAUUAAAAAUUAAUGGACUGAACCUGAACAGCAGUGCAGUGUAUUUCUGUGCUGCUCGUUACCACAGUGAAACACAUCAUCUGCUACUCAGUACAAAAACCUGCACUUGAGGUUCUUACAUCAGCUCCCAUCCCCUUACACACACACCCUCCUCUCAUUAGGGGGCAGUAUUUGUACUUCCUGUUACUUUGAACUGUGGUGAGAGUUGAUAUGACAGUUAUGAAGUUGAGAGAAGAUGGAGUUGACUCAUACAGGAGGUCUAACUGCUGAUGGACUGAAGAAAACACAAUGAUCCACUGCAACAAGGUUUAACCAAACAGCCAGAGAACACAAGAUGAUUUUCCUGUUUUAUCUUAUCUUCAGCUUGACCUUCAACAAUAUUUUGGUUUCAGGUUCCUCUCUCAGUCACAAAGUCCAGCAGCGUCCAGCUAACAUUUACAAGAAACCAGUAGAAACAGCCCAAAUCCCCAAUUAACUAGUCGCAGCCCCCCAUGAUGUCAACUAUUGGUUUGUAAACUACCUUCUUGAAAGCAGAAGCAGUCAUACAGGAGCACGACUUGGAGGCUACACCUGCCAUUGAAUGAGAGUUGCUGUUGUUCAUAUGGUUUCCAGGCCCAAUUGCAUACAAUGUUUUUUCAUCUAUUGACUGUAAGUGGGACCAUCAUGCUAUAAUGAGGAAGACUUGGAACCUGUGAUUGAGACUGUAAACGCUUAGGAAAAUGGUCUAUGCCAGUUUAACCACCAUGAAAUCAGACAGAUUUACAUGUGGUGACACUCCCACCUUCAACUUUUCAUGACGCUGUAACAAACGAGGACUCAAA